AGUCGAACGAAGUAGCAAUACUUAGUGGCAGACGGGUGAGUAACAUGUAGGUAUCUGCCCUUUGGCCUGGAAUAACACGAGGAAACUUGUGCUAAUACCGGAUAAGUCUUUACGGAGAAAGCUUUAUGCACCAUUGGAUGAGCCUGCACUUGAUUAGUUUGUUGGUGGGGUAAUGGCCUACCAAGACUGUGAUCAAUAGCUGAUUUGAGAGGAUGAUCAGCCACAUUGGGACUGAGACACGGCCCAAACUCCUACGGGAGGCAGCAGUGGGGAAUCUUGCACAAUGGAGGAAACUCUGAUGCAGCGAUGCCGCGUGAGUGAAGAAGGCCCUUGGGUUGUAAAGCUCUUUCGUCGGGGAAGAAAAUGACUGUACCCGAAUAAGAAGGUCCGGCUAACUUCGUGCCAGCAGCCGCGGUAAUACGAAGGGACCUAGCGUACUUCGGAAUUACUGGGCUUAAAGAGUUCGUAGGUGGUUGAAAAAGUUAGUGGUGAAAUCCCAGAGCUUAACUCUGGAACUGCCAUUAAAACUUUUCAGCUAGAGUAUGAUAGAGGAAAGCAGAAUUUCUAGUGUAGAGGUGAAAUUCGUAGAUAUUAGAAAGAAUACCAAUUGCGAAGGCAGCUUUCUGGAUCAUUACUGACACUGAGGAACGAAAGCAUGGGUAGCGAAGAGGAUUAGAUACCCUC
rnacentral:rRNA from 1 species